GUAGUACUCCCUCCGUUCCGAAUUACUUGUCGCAUGUAUGGAUGUAUCUAGAUGUAUUUUAGUUCUAGAUACAUCCAUUUCUGUGAUGAGUAAUUUGGAACGGAGGGAGUACAAA
rfam:Triticum aestivum genome assembly, contig: Triticum_aestivum_CS42_TGACv1_scaffold_374265_5AL